UACGGGGGGGGCAAGCGUUGUUGCGGAAUUACUGGGCGUAAAGGGCUCGUAGGUGGCCAACUAAGUCAGACGUGAAAUCCCUCAGCUUAACUGGGGAACUGCGUCUGAUACUGGAUGGCUUUGAAGUUUGGGAGAGGGAUGCGGAAUUCCAGGUGUAGACGGUGAAAUGCGUAGAUAUCAGGAGGAACACCUGCGGUGUAGACGGCUUUCUGGACCAUUGCUGACGCUGAGACACGAAAGCGUGGGUAGCAAACAGG
rnacentral:rRNA from 1 species